rnacentral:misc_RNA from 1 species
UCCCAUUCGACACGGGCAGUCUGUCUAGAGUGCACCUUUCGGUUAGCAACUAGACACAAGGGUUUCGCUCGUUACGGGACUUAACCCAACAUCUCACGACACGAGCUGACGACAGCCAUGCAACACCUGAUGUAGGCUCCCCUUGCGGGGUCGUUACCGUUUCUGGUUUCUACCACCCACACUUCAAACCCAGGUAAGGUUCUUCGCGUUGCCUCGAAUUAAACCACACGCUCCGCUGCUUGUGCGGGCCCCCGCCUAUUCCUUUGAGUUUUAACCUUGCGGCCGUAGUCCCCAGGCGGUGAACUUAAUGCGUUAGCGUCGGCACCGCAGGGGUCAAUACCCGCGACACCUAGUGCUCAUCGUUUACGGCGUGGACUAC